GCUGGUGUAGCUCAGUGGUAGAGCGCGUCCUUGGUAAGGACGAGGUCGUGAGUUCAACCCUCACCACCAGCU
rnacentral:tRNA from 1 species